rnacentral:rRNA from 1 species
UACGUAGGGCGCAAGCGUUGUCCGGAAUUAUUGGGCGUAAAGAGCUCGUAGGCGGUCUGUUACGUCCGCUGUGAAAACCCAGGGCUUAACCCUGGCGUUGCAGUGGAUACGGGUAGACUAGAGGGCAGGUAGGGGAGAAUGGGAAUUCCCGGUGUAGCGGUGAAAUGCGCAGAUAUCGGGAGGAACACCGGUGGCGAAGGCGGGUCUCUGGGCCGAAAUUGACGCUGAGGAGCGAAGCGUGGGGAGCAAACAGG